rnacentral:rRNA from 1 species
UGGGGAAUUUUGGACAAUGGGCGCAAGCCUGAUCCAGCCAUGCCGCGUGCAGGAUGAAGGCCUUCGGGUUGUAAACUGCUUUUGUACGGAACGAAAAGGUGCCUUCUAAUAAAGGGCGCUCAUGACGGUACCGUAAGAAUAAGCACCGGCUAACUACGUGCCAGCAGCCGCGGUAAUACGUAGGGUGCGAGCGUUAAUCGGAAUUACUGGGUGUAAAGGGUGCUCAGGCAGAUUUGUAAGUCAGAGGUGAAAUCUUACAGCUUAACUGUGAAACUGCCUUUGAUACUGCAAGCCUAGAGUAUGGAGGAGAGUGAUGGAAUAUCUGGUGUAGCAGUGAAAUGCGUAGAUAUCAGAUAGAACACCAAUGGCGAAGGCAGUCACUUGGUCCAUUACUGACGCUAAAGCACGAAAGCGUGGGUAGCAAACA